ACGAACGCUGGCGGCGUGCUUAACACAUGCAAGUCGAACGGAAAGGCCCUUCGGGGUACUCGAGUGGCGAACGGGUGAGUAACACGUGGGUGAUCUGCCCUGCACUUUGGGAUAAGCCUGGGAAACUGGGUCUAAUACCGAAUAUGACCAUGCACUUCCUGGUGUGUGGUGGAAAGCUUUUGCGGUGUGGGAUGGGCCCGCGGCCUAUCAGCUUGUUGGUGGGGUAAUGGCCUACCAAGGCGACGACGGGUAGCCGGCCUGAGAGGGUGACCGGCCACACUGGGACUGAGAUACGGCCCAGACUCCUACGGGAGGCAGCAGUGGGGAAUAUUGCACAAUGGGCGCAAGCCUGAUGCAGCGACGCCGCGUGAGGGAUGACGGCCUUCGGGUUGUAAACCUCUUUCAGCACAGACGAAGCGCAAGUGACGGUAUGUGCAGAAGAAGGACCGGCCAACUACGUGCCAGCAGCCGCGGUAAUACGUAGGGUCCGAGCGUUGUCCGGAAUUACUGGGCGUAAAGAGCUCGUAGGUGGUUUGUCGCGUUGUUCGUGAAAACUCACAGCUUAACUGUGGGCGUGCGGGCGAUACGGGCAGACUUGAGUACUGCAGGGGAGACUGGAAUUCCUGGUGUAGCGGUGGAAUGCGCAGAUAUCAGGAGGAACACCGGUGGCGAAGGCGGGUCUCUGGGCAGUAACUGACGCUGAGGAGCGAAAGCGUGGGGAGCGAACAGGAUUAGAUACCCUGGUAGUCCACGCCGUAAACGGUGGGUACUAGGUGUGGGUUUCCUUCCUUGGGAUCCGUGCCGUAGCUAACGCAUUAAGUACCCCGCCUGGGGAGUACGGCCGCAAGGCUAAAACUCAAAGAAAUUGACGGGGGCCCCGCACAAGCGGCGGAGCAUGUGGAUUAAUUCGAUGCAACGCGAAGAAC
rnacentral:rRNA from 2 species